rnacentral:lncRNA from 1 species
AAAAAUAAUCUGGGGAGCUUGCUCACAAUGCAGGUGUUCCUGGCCUCACCCCAACUAUUUUAAUUUCAUGUAAUUGGGGUGGGGUUCAGGAAUCUUCAUUUAAGAAAAAUACCUCCAGUGACAGAGAGAUGGCUGUCAACCACACUUUGAGAAAAAAACCCCUCAAGUUCAUGCUGUUGUGCUCAACCUUUGGGAAAAAAUUCUUCUAUUCUGUGUGAAAGAAAAUGGUGUCUUUCUAAGUCCCAAGAAAGCAUCCUAAAGGGAUGCAAGGAAGGAUUCGAUGGGCAUUCCUUCCAAGGCAUGAAAGGAGAGCGGAUGGCUGUGUCUUGUACUCAGCCACCCUCCACGGAGCCUGUGGCAGACCCAGGAAUGUCCAUGCAUCUCAGAGCUGAAGUGAGGUGCACAGGCCAAGUUCAAACCAGUGCCCCCUCCUUGCAGGGUGGUCAGAAAACACAUGGACAUUUGUCAAGAACUCCGGAGUAGCCCAUGUCUGUGGUUACACAAUGAAACAUUCUUCCCCAGCAGCAACACCCAGAAGGCUUCCAAUAUUUUGCGCCCACACACUGAACAUGAAAUAGUGAUUGAUGGUAAGAGGAUGUGCAUAGAAAAAGUUUAGAAGUGACCCCUUCUUAUUUUGCAAAUAACAAAAGGAAAUGCUCCUUUAGAUCCUGUGCAGUUCGGAAGCCGCUUGGGUGGCAUGUGGGCUUUCAGAGAGAAUGAAGAGAGACAUCUGGCAAGAACUUUUCUUGGUCACAAUGUCUUGCUUCUCAUUCUGCUUCCAAUGCCCUCCAGGAGGUUGCAGUUAUGGGGAGAAAUGGGACGCAGGAGAUCUGGGGUCAGAGGAAUGUGGAUCACAGGGGUGUGUCCAGAUCCCUGGACCUGCCACGUUUGUGAUCUCGGAAACAUUAUUUCUCUCUCUCCAGCCCAAGUUCCAGCACCAAGCCAGUUGAGGUGGCGUAUACAGCUUAUGUGACUCAUGACAAAAAGAGCAGAUGGAGAGACUAUGAAACUGACACCUCAGUCUUCUUACAAGGACAAUCUUUGACAAGAAGACAAAGUUCUGGAGGAACUUUUUGAGAUGCACCCAGGCAUUGCUGUGGAAGUGCACCUCCAUGGGGAGAGAAGGAAGUCAGCAUGUGAGUCCUUUGGCCAGAUGGCAAGUAAAGGAGAUGGGUUGGUGGGCAGUGGCUCUGGCUUGGAGUCCCCACUGGGGUCAUGGUGGGGUAAGAGUCUGGAGUGGCCCUUCAUGGAGUAAGCCCUGGGACCCUGACAGCGGGACUGCAUAUGUGGGUUGCCUGCUCUGCUCCUGAGGGGUUUUCAUGCUGAGGCAGGGUCUGCGGUCUGCAGGCUGCCGGUACAUGGAAGGACAGGGCACAGGCGUGGGCCUUGGAUCCACCUGGUUUCCUGGGACCUUGCACAUGGCUUUGUUUCUGCCGUGCUGCUCUGUGGGUGAUGCUUUGUCUUGUUGUGUUAAAGUGUGUGUGCUUGGGUGUUGCUUGAGACUCUGUGUGUGUUGGGAGGAUCCAGAAGGGGGUUGUAAGCAAGACGGAGUCAGUGAGGAAACGCCUCACAUGAGGCCCUAAACCCCAGCCAUCCUUACACACACCUUCAAACAAACUUGCUGUGAACGUAGUUUAGAGUUACAGAAAAGACACAAAAGCCAGCCAGAGUGUGCUUGUGAGAUCCUACCUAACCAUAGCACUACCUAACCAUAGCAGAAUUACUAACAGCACUUACACACCAUUGCCUCGACCAAUCCAAUUCAGCCAUCCCCACGGGUGUCCUCUGUCUCAGCACCCACUCUGCCUUUAGUUGUUCUUUCUCCUUAGUCCUCUCCAGCCUUCAACAUUUCAGUCUCUUUCUGUCUUUUUUGAUCUUGAAGCAUUGUUAUCAGUGCUAUUCUUGCUCCUUUCCAAACCAAGCUUCUAAGAUUUUGUCUUUGGCCACCAGCAGGUUUCCUGUUAUGGUUCCGGUCAUAGUUCUCCUUUUUGUUUGCUCAUAUUUUUUUGUGAAGCCCACAGGAACCAAGAAACGCUAAGUACAUUUGACCAUUAUUACCUGAAAUUUCAAUCAUAGGGGAUAAGUGUCUUCUCCAUGACUUGUCUCAAUGGGAAUGAGGAAACACCUUGCUGUGAAUUUCACAGGGAUGUGAGAAUGACCGCCCUCCCAUCCCCCUCGGAGCGGAGAUGGAUGAGGGGGUUGAUAGGCACAGGCUGGCUUCAAAGGCAGCAGGAGGGGCCCUGGUUCUCUGACUCCUGACUGCACUCCCUACCCGGGCCCGCCCUGCAUGCACACCUUAGUGUGUGCUGAGGUUCCAGGCUCAAACUCGUCCUCAGGUGACUGCAUGGGAGAGGAAGGGGCUCAAGUCACAGACUGGGAGUUCUCUCCUGGUGUGUAGGGAACAGACUGGGCACAGCUGAAAAGAAGUCAUGAGUGCAGGCAGGGCCCAGGAGUGAGGAACAGAAGGCAUUUUCCUGUCACUGUACUUCACCAGAGCCAAGGAGGAGGUGAGGGAAGAUGAGCAGCCACGUGUUUCCAGGAGGUGGGAGAACUGACCCCUCAGAGCACACAGAGGACGUCCGACCCUCCCAGAGGCCACCUGCACUGGAGCUUGGGUGGCAACAGUCAGGGAGGGCCACCUGGAGGACUCUGAGAGCAGGACCCCAAAAAGAAAAAAAAAAAAAGAAAGAAAAACAUUUUAUUUGAAAGACUAGGGUUUAUUACCGAAGAACACUGAAAACCCAUGUCCGGGAAACAUCAGAACUCCGCUUUACUUCCUUGUGGCUUGGUCUUGUUUUUAUUUUGACCUGGGGCAAUAGGGGAGGGGAGCCGUAAGCUUUUCAGAACCAGGGCCUCUAGAAAGCCUCCCUCCAGUCCUGGCGUGAGCUGCUGCCAACAGCAAGUGCUGCUUUGAGUCUGCAUUUCCAAAGCCCCUCUCGGCUAUCCCCAUGGUUGGCAUUUGCGGGAACACAAGUGCCCCUCCCAGCUCCUCAGCAGAAUCAACCCCAGCUCACCACAACACAGCCAGGAGCAGGCACAGGGCCUCCAGGCCUCCGCGGCCACACUGAGGUGCAUCUUGGCUCUUAGCGCU